UUCGUGUGUGGAGUUUUAGUUUAGUUUAGUGUGGCACUGUCCGAUGACUUUGCAGAAUUUGCAAAGACCCAUGAGGGUGACAUUGCCACUGGGGGUUCAGUGGGCAGGCAAAGGUGAGUUCUGCUUACCUAAAUCUGUUCCUUUGCAGGACCACCAUCUCCUCCUGCUGGGUCCUCUUCAGCUCCUGGCAUUUCAGCGCCAGGAGCAGACAUCACUGCUGAACUUUCACCCAUGUGCAAGAGAACAACAUUGAAGUCUAUGGAGGAUCAUCCAUAGAUAGAGCUAAUUCCCUGCAGCCUUCACUCGUGAUGCCAGAGGGAGGGGGGGGGAGGAAAUGACACCUCUAGACGGCAGUAAAUCCACCCAGUGUCUAGAACUGUCAAGUGUAUGACAUAUACAUAGACAAAAAGUAGUCCCUACAAUCUCAGGAUAGCUCUAUGUCAAUAUGAG